AAGGAAGCCAAGUAUAUCAAUGGUACAUAAAAUUGCAAGUUUUAAGGGUUUUGGACUU
rnacentral:tRNA from 1 species